GACGAACGCUGGCGGCGUGCCUAACACAUGCAAGUCGAACGGAGCUGAGAGAAGCUUGCUUUUCUUAGCUUAGUGGCGUACGGGUGAGUAACGCGAGAGUAACCUGCCCUGGAGUGGGGGACAACAGUUGGAAACGACUGCUAAUACCGCAUAAGCCCACGAUCCGGCAUCGGGUUGAGGGCAAAGGAUUUAUUCGCUUCAGGAUGGGCUCGCGCCCAAUUAGCUAGUUGGUGAGGUAACGGCCCACCAAGGCGACGAUUGGUAGGCGGACUGAAAGGUUGAACGUGCGCAUUGGGACUGGGACACGGCCCAGACUCCUACGGCAGGCAGGAGUGGGGGAUAAUGCACGAUAGGGGAAAGCCUGAUGCAGCGACGCCGCGUGGAGGAAGAAGGUUUUCAGAUUGUAAACACCUGUCGUUAGGGACGAUAAUGACGGUACCUAACAAGAAAGCACCGGCUAACUACGU
rnacentral:rRNA from 1 species